CCUACGGGAGGCAGCAGUGGGGAAUUUUGCGCAAUGGGGGAAACCCUGACGCAGCAACGCCGCGUGAGUGAUGAAGGCCUUCGGGUCGUAAAGCUCUGUCAGGGGGGAAGAAGUGAUUGUGUGCUAAUACCACAUGAUCUUGACGGUACCCUCAAAGGAAGCACCGGCUAACUCCGUGCCAGCAGCCGCGGUAAU
rnacentral:rRNA from 1 species